CGCGGCCUAUCAGCUUGUUGGUGGGGUGAUGGCCUACCAAGGCGACGACGGGUAGCCGGCCUGAGAGGGUGACCGGCCACACUGGGACUGAGACACGGCCCAGACUCCUACGGGAGGCAGCAGUGGGGAAUAUUGCACAAUGGGCGCAAGCCUGAUGCAGCGACGCCGCGUGAGGGAUGAAGGCCUUCGGGUUGUAAACCUCUUUCAGUAGGGAAGAAGCCUUCGGGUGACGGUACCUGCAGAAGAAGCGCCGGCUAACUACGUGCCAGCAGCCGCGGUAAUACGUAGGGCGCAAGCGUUGUCCGGAAUUAUUGGGCGUAAAGAGCUCGUAGGCGGUUUGUCGCGUCUGCUGUGAAAACGCGAGGCUUAACCUCGCGCCUGCAGUGGGUACGGGCAGACUAGAGUGCGGUAGGGGAGACUGGAAUUCCUGGUGUAGCGGUGGAAUGCGCAGAUAUCAGGAGGAACACCGAUGGCGAAGGCAGGUCUCUGGGCCGUUACUGACGCUGAGGAGCGAAAGCAUGGGGAGCGAACAGGAUUAGAUACCCUGGUAGUCCAUGCCGUAAACGUUGGGCACUAGGUGUGGGACCCAUUCCACGGGUUCCGUGCCGCAGCUAACGCAUUAAGUGCCCCGCCUGGGGAGUACGG
rnacentral:rRNA from 1 species